rnacentral:rRNA from 1 species
UGGGGAAUAUUGGACAAUGGGCGAAAGCCUGAUCCAGCAAUACCGCGUGUGUGAAGAAGGCCUUCGGGUUGUAAAGCACUUUAAGUUGGGAAGAAAAAACUUUACCUAAUACGUGAAGUCUUGACGUUACCGACAGAAUAAGCACCGGCUAACUCUGUGCCAGCAGCCGCGGUAAUACAGAGGGUGCUAGGGUUAAUCGGAUUUACUGGGCGUAAAGCGUGCGUAGGUGGUUUGAUAAGUCGGUUGUGAAAGCCCCGGGCUCAACCUGGGAAUUGCGGCCGAUACUGUCAGACUCGAAAACGGUAGAGGGAGGUGGAACUCCAGGUGUAGCGGUGAAAUGCGUAGAUAUCUGGAAGAACAUCGAUGGCGAAGGCAGCCUCCUGGGCCUGUUUUGACACUGAGGCACGAAAGCGUGGGUAGCAAACA